UACGGGGGGGGUAAGCGUUGUUCGGAAUUACUGGGCGUAAAGGGCUCGUAGGCGGCCAACUAAGUCGGACGUGAAAUCCCUCAGCUUAACUGGGGAACUGCGUCCGAUACUGGAUGGCUUGGAUUUGGGAGAGGGAUGCGGAAUUCCAGGUGUAGCGGUGAAAUGACGUAGAUAUCUGGAGGAACACCGGUGGCGAAGGCGGCAUCCUGGACCAAUAUUGACGCUGAGGAGCGAAAGCCAGGGGA
rnacentral:rRNA from 1 species